UCAAGCCCGGAGAUAGCUGGUUCUCCUCGAAAGCUAUUUAGGUAGCGCCUCGUGUAUCACUCUCGGGGGUAGAGCACUGUUUCGGCUAGGGGGCCAUCCCGGCUUACCAACCCCUUGCAAACUCCGAAUACCGCCAAGUGCCAGCACGGGAGACAGACAUCGGGUGCUAACGUCCGUUGUCAAGAGGGCAACAACCCAGACCGCCAGCUAAGGUCCCCAAGUACCAGUUAAGUGGGAAACGAUGUGGGAAGGCUUAGACAGCUAGGAGGUUGGCUUAGAAGCAGCCAUCCUUUAAAGAAAGCGUAAUAGCUCACUAGUCGAGUCGGCCUGCGCGGAAGAUGUAACGGGGCUCAAACCGGUCACCGAAGCUGCGGACACGCUCUGCGUGUGGUAGAGGAGCGUUGUGUAAGCCUGCGAAGGUCAAUCGAGAGGUUGGCUGGAGGUAUCACAAGUGCGAAUGCUGACAUGAGUAACGAUUAAGGAGGUGAAAACCCUCCUCGCCGGAAGACCAAGGGUUCCUGCGCAACGCUAAUCGGCGCAGGGUGAGUCGGCCCCUAAGGCGAGACCGAAAGGUGUAGUCGAUGGGAAACGGGUUAAUAUUCCCGUACCUCGCGUUAGUGCGAUGGGGGGACGGAGAAGGCUAGGCGGAGCCGGGCGAGCGGUUGUCCCGGUUCAAGCGAGUAGGCCGCGGUGGUUGGCAAAUCCGCCACCGCAAGCCGAGACGCGAUGACGAGCGCCCAAGGGCGCGAAGCCGUUGAUGCCAUGCUUCCAGGAAAAGCCUCUAAGCUUCAGCUCGCGUGAGACCGUACCCCAAACCAACACAGGUGGUCAGGGUGAGAAUCCCAAGGCGCUUGAGAGAACUCGGGUAAAGGAACUAGGCAAAAUGGUGCCGUAACUUCGGGAGAAGGCACGCCGCGCUAGUGUGACCUCCCUUGCGGGUGGAGCACGAGCCGGUCGAAGAUACCAGGCCCCUGCGACUGUUUAUUAAAAACACAGCACUCUGCAAACACGAAAGUGGACGUAUAGGGUGUGACGCCUGCCCGGUGCCGGAAGGUUAAUUGAUGGGGUUAGCUUCGGCGAAGCUCUUGAUCGAAGCCCCGGUAAACGGCGGCCGUAACUAUAACGGUCCUAAGGUAGCGAAAUUCCNNGCACGAAUGGCGUAACGAUGGGGGCGCUGUCUCUACCCGAGACUCAGUGAAAUUGAAAUCGCUGUUAAGAUGCAGUGUAUCCGCGGCUAGACGGAAAGACCCCGUGAACCUUUACUAUAGCUUCACAGUGAACUUUGAGCAUUCUUGUGUAGGAUAGCUGGGAGGCUUUGAAGCGGUGACGCCAGUCAUCGUGGAGCCGUCCUUGAAAUACCAGCCUGGGUUGUUUGAGGUUCUAACUCAGUCCCGUUAUCCGGGACGAGGACACUGUGUGGUGGGUAGUUUGACUGGGGCGGUCUCCUCCCAAAGCGUAACGGAGGAG
rnacentral:rRNA from 1 species